CAGGGUAACCUCUUGCAAGACUCUGGGAAUCCACUUGUUUGCCACUGGGAGAGUGAUUGACUGACAGCACAGCAGGGAGCUGGAGGAUCUUUAGCAGUGAAGGCUGCAAACGGACCUCUGGGAGAGGAGGCGAUAUCUGGACCACGGGAAUCACACAGGAAUGCACGGAGAGAGCACAGAACUAGGGCAUAGAGUAGAUACAACAAAGCACUGGCCCAGAGUAGCAUAAUCCCAGCCUACUUAAAGGCAGCACAAGCACGGGAUUGGCUAACACUUACCCACAGGUGUUUUCACAAGUGCUCUGUAUUGCUUAUUUGGUCUCCAACAUGGCCGCCUCCUAUACUGCAGACACACAGCGGUGCCUUUGGCCAUUUGGUCCCCGCACUCCCAGCUCCUAGAUCCUGCAUCACCUGUGCCACUGAUCACGCCGUGUCCCCACACGGCCGCACAGAACCGCGAGCAACCGCACCGGCAACGGAUGAACCCCAGAACCCGCAGAGCUGCAUUUUUCUAGGUUACAGAGCUGAUAAUCAUUGCAAGUGAAGCUGCUGCCUCCAAAAAGAAAAUAGACGCCCACUGGAGUCAUCCCAAAAUCCUCUACAGAUGCAUACUCAUACACAGCACUGACGAAGAACAUCGACUCCUAGGGUUGACCUAUGGAGAUGAUGGUGUUUUCCAGUGCAUGAACUGGCGUUUUGUUUCAGGAUCAUACUAGAAGAUCCACGUUCCAUCACAGGCGCUGACAGCAAAGACUGAGAGCGCCAAUCAGCUGGGCAUAUAAAGGCACCAUCUAUAUUAUACCCACUAAUGCAUGUGAUGUCUGGAAAUCCCUUAAUUGUUUUAUAACUGGGGAAUAUUUUUUA